rnacentral:rRNA from 1 species
UACAGAGGUGGCAAGCGUUGUUCGGAAUUACUGGGCGUAAAGGGCGAGUAGGUGGCCAUCUAAGUCAGACGUGAAAUCCCCCGGCUUAACCUGGGAACUGCGUCUGAUACUGGACGGCUAGAGUAUGGGAGAGGGAUGUAGAAUUCCAGGUGUAGCGGUGAAAUGCGCAGAUAUCAGGAGGAACACCGGUGGCGAAGGCGGGUCUCUGGGCAACAACUGACGCUGAGGAGCGGAAAGCGUGGGGAGCGAACAGG